AGAGUUUGAUCCUGGCUCAGAGUGAACGCUGGCGGCAGGCCUAACACAUGCAAGUCGAGCGGCAGCGCAGCAGUAGCAAUACUGUGGGCGGCGAGCGGCGGACGGGUGAGGAAUACAUCGGAAUCUACCUUCUUGUGGGGGAUAACGUAGGGAAACUUACGCUAAUACCGCAUAAGACCUGAGGGUGAAAGCGGGGGACCGCAAGGCCUCGCGCGAGAAGAUGAGCCGAUGUCGGAUUAGCUAGUUGGUGGGGUAAAGGCCCACCAAGGCGACGAUCCGUAGCUGGUCUGAGAGGAUGAUCAGCCACACUGGAACUGAGACACGGUCCAGACUCCUACAGGAGGCAGCAGUGGGGAAUAUUGGACAAUGGGCGCAAGCCUGAUCCAGCCAUGCCGCGUGUGUGAAGAAGGCCUUCGGGUUGUAAAGCACUUUUGUUGGGGAAGAAAAGACCGUGGUUAAUAACCGUGGUUCAUGACGGUACCCAAAGAAUAAGCACCGGCUAACUUCGUGCCAGCAGCCGCGGUAAUACGAAGGGUGCAAGCGUUACUCGGAAUUACUGGGCGUAAAGCGUGCGUAGGCGGUUUGUUAAGUCUGAUGUGAAAGCCCCGGGGCUCAACCUGGGAAUGGCAUUGGAUACUGGCAAUCUAGAAUGUGGUAGAGGGUGGCGGGAAUUCCCGGGUGUAGCAGUGAAAUGCGUAGAUAUCGGGAGGAACAUCCGUGGCGAAGGCGGCCACCUGGACCAACAUUGACGCUGAGGCACGAAAGCGUGGGGAGCAAACAGGAUUAGAUACCCCUGGUAG
rnacentral:rRNA from 1 species